GUAACGUUCUACCUACUGGGAUAGAUGACGAAAUACAUGGGGAGAGGAGACCAAGAGGCUGUAUCCCAGAGGCGGAAAGGUUAAGGGUCCAACGUCCAACGCUUUCAUUACAGGAGGGGGAAAAGCUUUGGACACUGAGACUUGCGUUUCAACUAGCCAGCGAGCUCUUCCAACAAAACCUAACACUUGUGAAAUGGAAUUCCAUCAAACUCAGGGAUCUCCAAGACCUUCUUGCUCGACAAAAUAUGACCUAUUCGGAAUGUGUGAGAGACAUGAGUGUGCAUCUAAACCUUCCAAUUAAGAACUACUUCAAAAGGCUGGACGACUUUCUUUUACAUGAGCGUUUCAGCGCGUGCUCAUGGGAGGUCGUGAGAGCUGAAAUGGGGAGCAUCAUUUCACAAGUAAUCAAAAAUGCCAAGAAACACGUGUGAGAGUAGCAUUACUUUUAGUUCAAUUCUGCAUUAAAAUGUAAUUUUGUUUAAUAUAUUAAGUAUGCCACUGUAACCUUUAUAUAUUUAUGUUAUUUAUCCGUGUUGCAAAUAAUUGCCUUGUACUCGAUAAUAUUUAAAUAAAAAGACAAACACGC
rnacentral:lncRNA from 1 species